rnacentral:lncRNA from 1 species
UAGGUCCUGGUUCCCAUUUGUAAUUGGCACCCUAAUGAAACCGUUUUCUGUAGCCCUGGAAAUGGCUGAAAAUGAGGGGAGGGAAAUAAAGUGCUAUAAUUCAGAGCAUGGAGCACACCUUCCUGGUUCACCUGAGCUGGAUUCGGAGAGGUAAAAUGGCCAUUACCUCGUCUAAGCUGCCACUUACAGACACAGUACAGGAUGAGGCCCAGACCCACAGAGACAACGAUGAUGGCCACAGCUAAGAUGAUCCAGAAAUUAUUCCUCCACCAGCUCAUUGCAGUGGAAUCCUGAGAAGAAUGGAGAGAGAAGAAUGAGGUAUGAAUGAAAGAUAUCCUGGGGUUGGGUGGAGUGGGGCAGUUAUCUACUGU